AUCAUCAAACGACCGGCUGCUUAGACAUCAAUGUCAGUCGGGUUUUAGAAAUGAGGAUUUUUGCAAUGAUACUGUUGUGUGUAUUUAUGACACCGGGUUAUCAUCAACUGAAGACGUAUUGUUUCGAUUAUCCAAUAUUUCCAUAUUAUACAGACGCUUAUUAUCCUAUUGAUGAGUGCUAUUUUCUGCGGAAGGGUCCACAAUACGAACUCUUUUUCAUGCUUCUUCUGUUGCUUCCGGGUGGUGAUGAGAUGAUCACCAAUGUCAUUCCACCAAACCCAUCACCGAAUUAAUGAGCAAAGAAUUGGAUGGACAGAGAGAUAACCUUCGUCAUAUUGGUGUUAAAAUUAGAAAUGCAUACCUUUUGUUAAAAACUACUUUAUGAACAUUUUGCUUUUAAAUUUGAAAUAGAAGCUACUUGAGCAUAAACAUUUAUUUCCU